UACAGACCUCUUACCCAAAUGCAUAGCCUUUAUUCCGUGAACUGGCUAUGAAACAAAUUAGCAUACUUUUGGUGCAGUACUAGAGUUGAUUUACACCAUUUGAUAUGGACUACAAGAUGAAAGUUCUACAAGUGAAUCUGUUCUAGAAAUCAACAAAUUAUACUAUGAAAUUAACUGGAAGUCUGGAAGAAACUUGUAGAAAAUAAAGUUUUACAAAUUAUUA